rnacentral:ncRNA from 1 species
GCAGAGUAGGCUUGCGCGCGUUAAGUGCCGGGCGGACAGGGAGUUGCCGUCUGGACGAAAGGGGAUAUGCCCCUGCGGUGCGCAGGCCGCAUCCCGCUGC